GAUGAACGCUAGCGGCAGGCUUAACACAUGCAAGUCGAGGGGUAUAGUUCUUCGGAAUUAGAGACCGGCGCACGGGUGCGUAACGCGUAUGCAAUCUACCUUUCACAGAGGGAUAGCCCCAGAGAAAUUUGGAUUAAUACCUCAUAGUAUAGCAGUUUCGCAUGAAACCACUAUUAAAGUCACAACGGUGAAAGAUGAGCAUGCGUCCCAUUAGCUAGUUGGUAAGGUAACGGCUUACCAAGGCAACGAUGGGUAGGGUCCUGAGAGGGAGAUCCCCCACACUGGUACUGAGACACGGACCAGACUCCUACGGGAGGCAGCAGUGAGGAAUAUUGGACAAUGGGCGCAAGCCUGAUCCAGCCAUGCCGCGUGCAGGAUGACGGUCCUAUGGAUUGUAAACUGCUUUUGUACGGAACGAAACGGUCCGCUUUAAUACAGUGGGCUAAUGACGGUACCGUAAGAAUAAGCACCGGCUAACUACGUGCCAGCAGCCGACGG
rnacentral:rRNA from 1 species